GCCCUUGAGAUCAAAUACGCGGAGAUGUUAGUGUAGAAGUCACAAUCGUGUUGGCCACUGUGCUGAGAAGGUGAACAAGUGAAAAUUCGAUUGAACAUUUUUAUAAAAGUGUCAUUUCCAUCUGUACUAAUCUCAGAAUCGAACGACGAACCAGAACCAGGCCAAUAAGACUGCAUAUGAGGUGUAAUGGCCUCAGGAGGCAGCAGUGUGACUCAGUGGCGUUUGGUGGCACAGGUACGUGACUAUAUUGCCCGCACCACACCAGCCCUGGCCACCCUUCAGAGAUCUGCCACAACUCUUGAAGAAGGUACAUGGGGCAUUUCAGACCAGAGCAGAAACCAAUUCCCCCAAUUCAGGGGUAAAUAACUUCCAAGAUGAAAAUGGAGCCAAGAACAAUAGUGCCUUGAAACCUUUAGGUUAGUUUUGAAUUUUAUUUAUAAA